UGACACUGGCUGCCAUAAUUAGAAGCACCAAGGAUGGGCAGAAUAUAGGACUUGGUGGUUGGGCCCCUGUUCACACAAAUGCAUCCUGCCUGAGCGCUGAGGAAUCUCUGGGAUAAACCAGAGGCCAGCACUGUGGAUUCAGAGCAACCCUGUCCCAACUGCACAGGGCCUCCAGCACUACAUCUCCAGUUCUCCCUGUCCUGGCCACGGCCCAGCCACCAUGACAGGCACACCAGUGGAGGAAUCCCUCUUCCAAAUCAUCCACUGUUACCACCAGUAUGCAGCCCGGGAGGGAGACGUGGAGACCCUGUCCCUGGAGGAGUUGAAGGCUCUGCUUAUGGACAAUGCACCCCGCUUCAUGGAGAGCCUGGGCCGGAAGGAGCCCUACUACAUCUCGGAGUUGUUCCGGGCUGCAGACAAGAACAAGGACAACCAGAUCUGCUUUGAUGAGUUCCUCUUUGUCCUGGGCCGUCUGGUGAGGGACUACCACCUGCACUACCACCGUCAGCAGUGUGCCCACUACUGCGCCCAGCACAGCCUCCACUAGCAGACGUGUGGCCGUCUCCACCUGCAGGGGCCUGUCCUGGAGCGGAUGGAGAGCUCUGCCCAGUGAGUCUGUGUGUGCCCACAUGUGUGUGCAACCAACAGCUGUGGGGGAAGAGAAUAAAGCAACCCCAUAAAUGUGUCCUGGAAUUCUU
rnacentral:lncRNA from 1 species